rnacentral:rRNA from 1 species
UACGUAGGGUGCGAGCGUUAAUCGGAAUUACUGGGCGUAAAGCGUGCGCAGGCGGCUGUGCAAGACAGAUGUGAAAUCCCCGGGCUCAACCUGGGAACUGCAUUUGUGACUGCAAGGCUAGAGUACGGCAGAGGGGGAUGGAAUUCCGCGUGUAGCAGUGAAAUGCGUAGAUAUGCGGAGGAACACCAAUGGCGAAGGCAAUCCCCUGGGCCUGUACUGACGCUCAUGCACGAAAGCGUGGGGAGCAAACAGG